GACGAACGCUGGCGGCGUGCCUAAUACAUGCAAGUAGUACGCCGAAGAGAGGAGCUUGCUCUUCUUGGAUGAGUUGCGAACGGGUGAGUAACGCGUAGGUAACCUGCCUGGUAGCGGGGGAUAACUAUUGGAAACGAUAGCUAAUACCGCAUAAUAGCAGUUAUUGCAUGAUAACUGUUUGAAAGGUGCAAUUGCACCACUACCAGAUGGACCUGCGUUGUAUUAGCUAGUUGGUGGGGUAACGGCUCACCAAGGCGACGAUACAUAGCCGACCUGAGAGGGUGAUCGGCCACACUGGGACUGAGACACGGCCCAGACUCCUCGGGAGGCAGCAGUAGGGAAUCUUCGGCAAUGGACGGAAGUCUGACCGAGCAACGCCGCGUGAGUGAAGAAGGUUUUCGGAUCGUAAAGCUCUGUUGUAAGAGAAGAACGAGUGUGAGAGUGGAAAGUUCACACUGUGACGGUAUCUUACCAGAAAGGGACGGCU
rnacentral:rRNA from 1 species